rnacentral:misc_RNA from 1 species
GAUGAAGAAACGCAGCGAAAUGCGAUAAGUAGUGUGAAUUGCAGAAUUCCGUGAAUCAUCGAAUCUUUGAACGCACAUUGCGCCUUCUGGUAUUCCGGAAGGCAUGCCUGUUCGAGAGUCAUUAACAACCGUUUCGAUCCCUUUCUUUCAGAAAUUACAAAGAGGAAAAGGGUUUGGUUAUGGUGGAGGAGGGAAAGGGAGCGUUUAGCCUGUAAAAAAAGAGGCUGUGUUCCGCCUCCCCCCCAAAAUUGUACAGGCGGUCGUGUGCGCCCACGCAUCGAGGUGUUGUAAAAGCUGCCACGGCACUUUUCACCUGUGCAGUGCGAGAUUGGCCAGCCGGUUUAAAAACCCCUCCAAACAAUCAAAGGUUGACCUCGGAUCAGGUAGGGAUACCCGCUGAACUUAAGCAUAUCAAUAAGCGGAGGA